rnacentral:rRNA from 1 species
AUUGGACUACCAUGGCAGUCACGGGUAACGGAGAAUAGGGUUCGAUUCCGGAGAGGGAGCCUGAGAAACGGCUACCACAUCUACGGAAGGCAGCAGGCGCGUAAAUUACCCAAUCCUGAUUCAGGGAGGUAGUGACAAGAAAUAACAACUCGGGGCCUCACGGCUUACGAGAUUGCAAUGAGAACAAUUUAAAUCUCUUAGCGAGGAACAAUUGGAGGGCAAGUCUGGUGCCAGCAGCCGCGGUAAUUCCAGCUCCAAUAGCGUAUAUUAAAGUUGUUGCAGUUAAAAAAGCUCGUAGUUGAAUUUCUGAUUAUGGAUGUAGCGGUUUCCGUUACAUUUGUAGUCAUCCACAUGAGAACCUUUCUCGGCCUUCACUGGUCGGUUGGGGGAUCAUGUACUUUACUUUGAAAAAAUCAGAGUGUUUCAGGCAGGCGUUUGCAUGAAUACACAAGCAUGGAAUAAUGGAAUAGGACUAGGGUCCAUUUUAUUGGUUAUUGGACCAUAGUAAUGAUUAAUAGGGACAGUUGGGGGC